GAAGUUUUAGUUUAUUUUUUUUUAGAAUAAAGAAUUGUAAAUUCUUAGGAUUUUGCUUUG
rnacentral:tRNA from 1 species